rnacentral:rRNA from 1 species
UAGUCCACGCCGUAAACGAUGGAUACUAGCUGUUCGGACUUCGGUCUGAGUGGCCCAGCGAAAGUGAUAAGUAUCCCACCUGGGGAGUACGUUCGCAAGAAUGAAACUCAAAGGAAUUGACGGGGGCCCGCACAAGCGGUGGAGCAUGUGGUUUAAUUCGAUGAUACGCGAGGAACCUUACCAGGGCUUAAAUGUAUAGUGACAGGGAUAGAGAUAUCUUUUUCUUCGGACACUUUACAAGGUGCUGCAUGGUUGUCGUCAGCUCGUGCCGUGAGGUGUCAGGUUAAGUCCUAUAACGAGCGCAACCCCUGUUGUUAGUUGCCAGCACAUUAUGGUGGGAACUCUAAGAAGACUGCCUACGCAAGUAGCGAGGAAGGCGGGGAUGACGUCAAAUCAUCAUGGGCCUUUAUGCCUAGGGGCGACACACGUGCUACAAUGGCAGGUACAGAGGGUA